UUUCCGGUUGAUCCUGCCGGACCUGACUGCUAUCGGAUUGAUACUAAGCCAUGCGAGUCUUUGCAGUAAUGCAAGGCAUACGGCUCAGUAACACGUAGUCAACCUGCCCUAUGGACGAGAAUAAUCUCGGGAAACUGAGCAUAAUUCUUGAUAGAUCAUAAUGCCUGGAAUGGUUUAUGGUUAAAAUGAUUCGUCGCCAUAGGAUGGGACUGCGGCCUAUCAGCUUGUUGGUGAGGUAAUGGCCCACCAAGGCGAUUACAGGUACGGGCUCUGAGAGGAGAAGCCCGGAGAUGGGUACUGAGACACGGACCCAGGCCCUAUGGGGCGCAGCAGGCGAGAAAACUUUGCAAUGUGCGAAAGCACGACAAGGUUAAUCCGAGUGAUUUCUGCUAAAGAAAUCUUUUGCCAGUCGUAAAACCGCUGGUGAAUAAGGGGUGGGCAAGUUCUGGUGUCAGCCGCCGCGGUAAAACCAGCACCUCAAGUGGUCAGGAUGAUUAUUGGGCCUAAAGCAUCCGUAGCCGGCUUUGUAAGUUUUCGGUUAAAUCCAUGUGCUCAACACAUGGGCUGCCGAAAAUACUGCAUAGCUAGGGAGUGGGAGAGGUAGACGGUACUCAGUAGGUAGGGGUAAAAUCCUUUGAUCUAUUGAUGACCACCUGUGGCGAAGGCGGUCUACCAGAACACGUUCGACGGUGAGGGAUGAAAGCUGGGGGAGCAAACCGGAUUAGAUACCCGGGUAGUCCCAGCUGUAAACGGUGCAGACUAGAUGAUGCAUUGGCAUAAUAGCCAUUGCAGUGUCUCAGGGAAGCCGUUAAGUCUGCCGCCUGGGAAGUACGUACGCAAGUAUGAAACUUAAAGGAAUUGGCGGGGGAGCACCACAAGGGGUGAAGCCUGCGGUUCAAUUGGAGUCAACGCCGGGA
rnacentral:rRNA from 1 species